rnacentral:rRNA from 1 species
UACGUAGGGUGCAAGCGUUUAUCCGGAAUUAUUGGGCGUAAAGAGCUCGUAGGCGGUUUGUCACGUCUGCUGUGGAAAACUGGAGGCUCAACCUCCAGCCUGCAGUGGGUACGGGCAGACUAGAGUGGCGGUAGGGGAGAUUGGAAUUCCCGGUGUAGCGGUGGAAUGCGUAGAGAUCGGGAAGAACAUCAGGUGGCGAAGGCGGCCUGCUGGGCUGUUGCUGACGCUGAGGCGCGACAGCGUGGGGAGCAAACAGG